CAUAAAAUCAUGCUAUUUCAUGGCACUAGAAUUUCAUAAACAAAAUUCUAACUUAACUUGAACAUGAACUUUAUAUAACAUGAAUCUUAUGAACAUCAAAAUUAUCCAAAUAUGAAGGUGACUCUGAUACCAAUUGUUAGAAUAAUGAUUCCGACUAACAUACAAUAACCUUCAUAUUGAAUAAUUUGGAACAACAACUACAUGAGCGGAAGCUUACUUGAAUCCAUAUGUGGAAAUCCUUGAACCUCCUUUGAUGAUUGUUUGAAGUGUGCCUUAGCAAG
rnacentral:lncRNA from 1 species